CUUCUGGUUUCUGUCCAGUCUCACAGAGUAGAGUAGAGCAGAGGAGAGGAGAGGCAGCUGAAACAAAGCAAGACCGCUGACACUGAGAUUAAUCUUUGAGUGAUAUGGAAGAUUAGUGUGGACCAGCCACUAACAGUGAGCUGUUCAACAACCCAUCAUCCAGUACAGACUGGACCAGCCACCAACAGAGGGAGCUGUUCAACAACCCAUCAUCCCUUACAGACUGGACCAGCCACUAACAGUGAGCUCUGUUCAACAACCCAUCAUCCCUUACAGACUGGACCAGCCACCAACAGAGGGAGCUGUUCAACAACCCAUCAUCCCUUACAGACUGGACCAGCCACCAACAGAGGGAGCUGUUCAACAACCCAUCAUCCCAUACAGACUGGACCAGCCAC
ensembl:lncRNA